GAUGAACGCUGGCGGCGUGCCUAAUACAUGCAAGUCGAGCGAACAGAUGAGGAGCUUGCUCCUCUGACGUUAGCGGCGGACGGGUGAGUAACACGUGGAUAACCUACCUAUAAGACUGGGAUAACUUCGGGAAACCGGAGCUAAUACCGGAUAAUAUAUUGAACCGCAUGGUUCAAUAGUGAAAGACGGUUUUGCUGUCACUUAUAGAUGGAUCCGCGCCGCAUUAGCUAGUUGGUAAGGUAACGGCUUACCAAGGCAACGAUGCGUAGCCGACCUGAGAGGGGGAUCGGCCACACUGGAACUGAGACACGGUCCAGACUCCUACGGGAGGCAGCAGUAGGGAAUCUUCCGCAAUGGGCGAAAGCCUGACGGAGCAACGCCGCGUGAGUGAUGAAGGUCCUCGGAUCGUAAAACUCUGUUAUUAGGGAAGAACAAAUGUGUAAGUAACUAUGCACGUCUUGACGGUACCUAAUCAGAAAGCCACGGCUAACUACGUG
rnacentral:rRNA from 1 species